rnacentral:rRNA from 1 species
ACUCAAAUGAAUUGACGGGGGCCCGCACAAGCGGUGGAGCAUGUGGUUUAAUUCGAUGCAACGCGAAGAACCUUACCUACUCUUGACAUCCUGCGAAUCUAUCCGAGAAGAUGGAGUGCCGAAAGGAGCGCAGAGACAGGUGCUGCAUGGCUGUCGUCAGCUCGUGUUGUGAGAUGUUGGGUUAAGUCCCGUAACGAGCGCAACCCUUGCCCUUAGUUGCCAGCGAGUAAAGUUGGGGACUCUAAGGGGACUGCCGGUGAUGAACCGGAGGAAGGCGGGGAUGACGUCAAGUCAUCAUGGCCUUUAUGAGUAGGGCUACACACGUGCUACAAUGGGGCGUACAAAGGGAAGCCAACCUGCGAAGGGGAGCCAAUCCCAGAAAGCGUCUCGUAGUCCGGAUUGGAGUCUGCAACUCGACUCCAUGAAGUCGGAAUCGCUAGUAAUCGCGAAUCAGCACUGUCGCGGUGAAUACGUUCCCGGGCCUUGUACACACCGCCCGU